AUUAUAUACCUGGUAGUCCACGCUGUAAACGAUUUCGAUUUGGAGGUUGUGCCUUUGAGGCGUGGCUUCCGGAGCUAACGCGUUAAAUCGACCGCCUGGGGAGUACGGCCGCAAGGUUAAAACUCAAAUGAAUUGACGGGGGCCCGCACAAGCGGUGGAGCAUGUGGUUUAAUUCGAUGCAACGCGAAGAACCUUACCUGGUCUUGACAUCCACAGAACUUUCCAGAGAUGGAUUGGUGCCUUCGGGAACUGUGAGACAGGUGCUGCAUGGCUGUCGUCAGCUCGUGUUGUGAAAUGUUGGGUUAAGUCCCGCAACGAGCGCAACCCUUAUCCUUUGUUGCCAGCGGUUCGGCCGGGAACUCAAAGGAGACUGCCAGUGAUAAACUGGAGGAAGGUGGGGAUGACGUCAAGUCAUCAUGGCCCUUACGACCAGGGCUACACACGUGCUACAAUGGCAUAUACAAAGAGAAGCGACCUCGCGAGAGCAAGCGGACCUCAUAAAGUAUGUCGUAGUCCGGAUUGGAGUCUGCAACUCGACUCCAUGAAGUCGGAAUCGCUAGUAAUCGUAGAUCAGAAUGCUACGGUGAAUAC
rnacentral:rRNA from 1 species